GCCCCGGUGGCGCAAUCGGUUAGCGCCCCGUACUUAUAGACAGUAUCUUAGGCGAUGCGGAGGUUGUGAGUUUGAUCCUCACCCGGGGCA